rnacentral:lncRNA from 1 species
CACCACCAAGUCCUAAAACCAUUGUUACAAUGUCGCCGCCGCCACCUCCAAGCCCAUCAAAACAUGUUCCAAGCCCACCUAAAAGUGUUAUAGGCCCACCUCAAGUAUACUUGCCACCUAUUGUUUAUCCACCACCACCUUCAACUCAUAAGAAGCCACCACAAUAUGCUAUUUGGUGUGUGGCAAAGCCUACAGUUCCUGAUCCUAUAAUUCAAGUGGCUAUGGAUUAUGCCUGUGGGUCUGGGGCUGACUGUAAAUCAGUUCAGCCUAAUGGGAUAUGCUUUCAGCCCAACACAGUGUUGGCACAUGCUUCUUAUGCAUUUAAUAGCUAUUGGCAGAACACUAAGAUUGGUGGGGGGACUUGUGAUUUUGGUGGUACUGCUAUGCUUGUCACUGUUGAUCCAAGUAAGUUUGCACUACGUACCAUAUUUGAUUACCUUUGUUAAAGAGAUUAAUUUUCAUAUAUUUCAUUUUUUUUUGUAAGUAAUUUUUCCAUGUAUUUCAUGUUCUACACUGUUAGCACAUUUACAUGUUGAUCUAAUGAUAAAAAAAAAAAAAAAAUUUUGAAUCGGCAAAAUAUUAUAUGUAUGGACCGUAAAAGUUGAUUAUGAUAAAAUUUAAACAGUUGAUUAGGAUAAAUAAUUUAAUUUUUUGGUACAAAUAAUAAAAUAAAUUUUAAUGAAAUUAUAUGACAAAAUUAACACUUCACAUGUUUCAUAUAUAUCGAGAUUCUUUUUUUGUUACAAUGAGAUCCUUUUAUUUAGCUGUUAGUUAAGUCAUUUCACAUCACAUCACAUACUAUAUAUAUCCACACAACAGGCAUAUGCCACUUGAUUUCUUUUAAAUUGGAAUCUAUCCGGGUAGAGAAAACAUGAAUUCAUGACAUCGGUAGCCGGCGUCUGAUUAAAAAUAAAGGUUUUUUUUAAAUUACCUUUAAAGAAUGGUGGGUAAUUUAUCCACCAACCAAUGAAAAUGAGCAAUUUAUUUGUGGAGUCAAGAUAGUUCAUGAAUAUGUGUUUAUGUGGCUAAUGUGUAUUGGUUGGGGUAAAUUACCCAUCAUUCUUUCAUGGGUAGCCUAGUUGCCACCAAAAAUAAAUGGUUCAAAUAAAUAUAUAUUUUAAUUUAUAAUUUAAAAAAAUAUCAAAUUUAAAUAUGAAUGGUUUAAUCUUGAUCAAACAACUAUUGAUGUGCUAUUGUGUGAUGUGUGCUUGAUCCCCUUUCUUCUUUUGAGGUGCAUUCUUCAUUGUCACACUCGGUGGUAUUAGAUUCGCGCACAGUCACUUAAAGCCCACAUUCACCUAUUCAAAACGUUGUUGACUUAUAUGGAUCAAGAUCUAAAGGAAUUUUAAGCUGGUUUUUAAGAUAAAAAACAAAAAUCAAACCUUAAAACCUGCAUUGUUCGAUCUAGAGUCAACGAUCACCGACAUGGUGAAAGUGAAUUUUUGUAACUACAUGGAAUGCAUAUUUCGUAGUCUUUUCAAUUUAGAACUAUGGAUUAUUGCUUCAGACUAACAUUUCCCUCAAAUCCUCGAUUUAUUUGGCAGGUUAUGACAAGUGCAGCUUCAAGUCGACUUAGCUCAUUGCUUGCUAUAAUACAUAGCAUUUGGAGACUUACCAAAUAUUGAAAACUUCUUGUUCCAAUGUAAUUUUUUAUGCAACGAUAAAUUCCCUUACUUAAUUAGAUACAUUAUUUGGAGUUACCUUGAUCAUAGUAUAUUCCGCCCUUGCUUAAUUUUGUGUAGUUCUAUAUAUUUCUAAAAUGGUAGGUUUAAUAUAUAUAUUCAUGACCAUAAUUUGAUAUUUAGAGAUGUAUGUAGCUCUAUUACGUUUCUGGUUCUUUAGUUUAAAACUUAGAUAAGCACCCAUCUUUUGUGUAUUACUAUCAGCGUUAUAAUCCUUGAAAACUUAGAUAAGCACCCAUCUAAAUGCAUAUAAGGUUAAGACAAUACCGACAUCAAAAUGCAGGUUGAAUACAUUAUCCGACUAAAAUCCAUUUCGCUUUCUUCAUGCAUGUGCUCUACAGUUAUCUUCAAUGAAUAAAACAGUAGUUACCUUCAGCCAGCUUGUAAUAUGUUGUCGCACCUGCGAAGCUAAUUUGCAUUCAAAAAAUAAGUGAGAAACAUUUUCCUGCGAAGCUAAUGAAGUGUACGGAAAAAUAAAUAAAAAAUUUACAUUUUAUUAUAACAAAGCAAACAAUUUACUCUAUUGCUUUUUUCUUUAAAAAAAAAUAAAAAAUUUACUUUAUUGUUUCGUGGUGUUUUUUUUAUUCAUUUACUUACUGAUAAAAAACUCAUAUAGACAAAAGAACUGAGUUAAGUGAGAAAAAAAAUGAGAUUAUAGCUAGUAUUGAUAUUUUUACUAAUGUAUUUCGAAAAAUAUUUCAUUCUGUUGGUGUAUAAAAAUUUACAUUAGAAGCAGGGAGGGAACCAUAUUUAACGGUAUAAGAUAGGAAAGAAAAAACAAAUUACUUUACCCAAAAAAAAAAAAAAACAAAUUUUUAUUUGCAAAUAUAAUGCACACAUGAAAUUUAAGAAAUUAUAUGUUACUUCCCUCAUUUCCUUUUUUUAAGUGUUUUUUUAGAAAAUUAACACAAAAAUCACGAAGUGUAUUUUUUGCACAUUUUCUUCCUAGUAUACCCUCAUUUUAAUCCACUAAUAAAUUUCAAUUGUUUUGCAAACACUUUAUCUUUCCAAUAAAUUUAAUAUGUUAUAUUUCUCUCAUUGUGAGUUACUAUUAUCUUUUUCUCCAACAAAUUCCUAUUUUUUUACAUGCACUCUCUCAUAACAAACAAUUGUCAAUUUUCUAAAUAUUGUGUACAUCUUUUCAAUUAUUUUAAGUCAAUAUAAAAAUUAAAUUGAUGAAACUUCUUCUUCUUCAUUGUCAUCUUGUUCUUGUUCUUGUAUCUUGUCGAAUGAGUUUUCAACUAUUGCUCCCUCUUCACAUCUCAUCAUCAAUUUCAACGAGUCUUCCACUUUUUCAUCCUUUUGAGCAUACUACAUGGAGUCUUUUAUUUUUCUUCUCUCAAAUCUUUUAUUUUACUUUGCCCUUGAAAUUUUUAACAAUUGAUACUCAUCUUAGUUAUCGAAUUUUAACUCUUCUUGGAACCAUUGUUUGUAACAAAAUUUUGUUUAAAUUUGAAGAUAACAAGAAACAAACUUUGUUUAAAAAAAAACUGUGUUCCAAAUAGAUAGCAUUAAUUAGUUUUAUUGAAAAAGCUAAAAGUAAUUGGCAAAGGGUAUAAUUGACAAAUCGUAAUUUAAAAUACCAAAAAGACAGUAAAAUAGGAACGGAAAAUUCACCAUAAAAAGACACUUAAAAAUGAACGGAGGAAGUAUAUCCAAAGUUAAUAUGUAUCGAAAAUUGUGUUCAUGUGUAAUUUAUUUGUUGUUUUUUGUUGCCGUUGUUUCUUUAGUGGCACUUUGACUCUGUAAAUACUUGUCGGUGGUUCUCCUUUUGCAUACCUUAUACAGGUUGAACCACUCUGAUUUUAUUAAUAUCUCAUUUUGAUUUGUUAAAAAAAAAUGUAUCUAAAAUUAUAAGAAAUUUCAAAGAUGUUAGAAAAAUGAGUUCCUUGAGGCUUCUUUGAGUGUGACCAAAGAAGAUUUUUUUAAUAGUAGAGAUAGGAAAUAAGAAACAACAAGAAUGUAAAUGUAGGAGAAGAAAUUCAAGAUAAUAUCACAAACAUUAGUAGUGACUGAAAGGGCGCAAACAACACCGCGUGCAAUAUUUCUUACAGUUUGAGUGAAAUUGCAACAAAUAAUCACAAAUUAAUAUUCUAGUUAAGGUUCUUCUAAUUGCAUAAAAAAAAACUCACUUUAUUUCUCAAUUUCUCAAUGUUAUGCAUUCUAGUUAAGGAUUUGUGUUAUUAAAAUUUGAAAGUUAUACAAUGCUAAAUAUACUGAGUAAAAAAAAGUUCAUUAUACAAAAUCAUAUUAAGUUCACAGAAAAUAGUAUAGUGACAAAAAAAUAAAAAUAAUAAUAACAUACUAAUAUGAAGGGAACCAUGGCCUAUGUUAGUCUCCGUUCUAGUUUCAUCCCUGAUUGCAAAGUAUAUCAUAAUGCAAUCUUGUGUAGCUACGAUAAGAAUUAAAUAUUUUCAAUUAUCUACUAAUAGUAAUGAUUAAUUGACAAUGCAAGUACUCUUUACACCUGCAUUGCAUAUGAAUUAGAAGUCACUUUGUUGGCAUAUCACUCCUCAAUCUUGUGAUCCUCCGUUCAAAACUAGCGGUAUGGUAACAAAACCCAUAUAUGUGGGUAUCCGUUUGAACCAAACUUAAAUUGACGGGUUUUUUUUAUUUUAAUUGGGUUUGGGUUUGUCUCGAUUUCAAAAGAUAGAUACGGGACGGGUAACAGGAAUAUAGGUACUCAUCUCAAACCCAUCCUGAAUGUAGAAAAUUAAUUUAUUACCCAUUUUAUAUAAAUAAAAACUCAAACCCUAAAUCAUUUCACUCAUACAAUCAGAGUCUCGGUCUUUCAGAUGACACAAUUAUCAUAGUUCUUUCUUUUCUCCUUCAAUAUUCCACACUCUCAGCCUCUCUCUUCUUCAUCACCAUAGUCAUCGAUCGUCGUCAUCUUUUUACUGAAUAAUGCAUUAGUCAUUACAACUUUGCGCUCGGGGAUAAAAAAUACUUUUAUUUUUAAUAAAAAAAAAUUAUCCACUUCGGGGAUGGGAAUGAGGCGGGGAUGCCCAAACCCGUCGGGGACAUGGAUGAGAUUCGAUUUCUCAUCUCCGCUGAAUAUGGGUAUGGUAACGGGUAAGUAUUUGAAAAUAUGGUAUGAGGACGGGGAAGGUAAAACUCAUCCUCACCCUACCCCAUUGUGAUGCCUAUUCAUGAAGCACAUAUAUUUAGGUAAAUAUUAGAAUAGAAUAACAUUGGAAUGAAAUAAUGACAAAAUUAUCUCUUCACAUGUUUCAUAUUGAGACUCUUUUAUUUACAAUGAGUUCCUUAUUUCGUCGUUAUAGUUUAAGUGAUUUCACAUCACAUACUAUACCCUAACAACAAAGACAUAUUAUGCCACUUGGUUUCGGUACACAUUUCAUUGUCACGCAUCGUCGUCUUAUGGUUGUUGUGCCUUCAAUUUAGUUAAAACUAUGGGCUAUUGCUACAGACUGACAUUUUCCUCAAAAUCAAAACCACCGUUUAUUUGGCAGGUUAUGCAACUUCAUGUUGACUUCCUUCUAUUGAAAACCUCUCUUUCCAACGUAAUUUUUACGUAGCAAUACAUCCCCUUUGCUUAAUUAGUGACAAUAUUUGAAGUUACCCUACCUUGAUCAUCAUCAUCCCUUGCUUAAUUGGUGACGAUAUUGGAAGUAACCUUCAUCAUCUUCUUUGUGGUUUUUCUAGGAAUUCUUUAGGUGUCUUCGAGUUUGGAAGCAUACAAUCAUUUUUGUAAUAAUUAAAAAUUAAAAUUGUUACAAACUUCUAAAACACGGAAGGGUGAUUGAGUUGUCCUCGUGGAGUCAUGUGUCCAAUUGGUUAUAUAUACAAUCAUAUUAUAAUAGUCGUAUAUACGUAAACAUUUUUUAAAAAAAUAUGUACCACACUUUAAAAAUUCACAUAUGCAUUAAUUAAUUUACUUUUAACCUUAUCUUCUAAUAUAUUAUUAUAAAUUAAUUAAUAGUUAUUUUAAGAAAAACCAAUAAACAAUAUAACGCAAACUUGAAACAAAGAGUGAAUCAAGGAGAAUCUACAAAAUAAGUAGAGUAAUGUAUAAUUAAUACAGAAAAAAAAUUAACAAAUAAAAUUUAUCUCACCUUACCAAUGGAGAUUUUAUCUAUUGGAAAUGGUUGAUAUACUUACAAUUAGUUUUCGACACACAUCGAAUAUGAUUAUCUCCAAUUUAUGUGGCGGAAAAACUUAUCACACACGUUAGAAAAAGAAAAAAGUGUUUAUUUUUCUAGUUCCAUGAGUUUCUACAAGGUUUUUUUUACUUCACUAGCUAGUGAUGACUCGCAUGUGAGAUUUGCGAGUGCAACUUAACAUAUGUGAUUUUGAGACCACGAGAGAAGCAUAUAAUUUUUUUUUUUAAAGUACUAUAAAAUAAUAAUAAAAUUUGAACAUAUAUAUGAAAUGUGGUUGUAUCUUUCAGCAUGGAUUAGAACUUUGUUUGUCAUGUUUAUGAGAGUUUAAUCUCUUGCGCUAAAUUCAACCUUAUUGGUGAAUCUAGAUUUUUUUUUUUAUGUAUAUAUGUAUAUAUAUAUAUAUAUGAUGUUUCUAACCUAAUUAAGAGUUAUAUGUUGUAAUAAUAUUAUAUAAUUGUCUUUUUACUCCUUUUCGAUCUUGAGUUAUUUUGGGACGGGAAAAUAUCUUUAUUUUGGUUUUCAUAUAACUAUUCCCCCUUUUUUGUGAAUCCAAAGCAUUGCUUGAAAACUUUUAUUAUCAGCAUUGCUCGAAAGUUGAAACUAUUCCCGCUGGAUUCAAAGUUUUCAACUUCACUAAUUUCUUUGAAAAGAAAAUACUAUAAAACUUCACUGACAUGUUACGUUACAUUUGGAAGCCAGUCAUGUACCGUAAUAAUUGAAGAAAAAAUAUUAUCAGCCGACACUAAAUGCAUAAAAGGUUAAGACAUUACCGAUCCAUGUUUUGUCGUUGAACAAUUAGUCAAAUGUUAAUUGGUUUCAUUCAGAAUUAAGUGUAAAAAAUUUGAUGAUGAUAAUGAAAGAGACUUGAGUGUAUUACCCGACUAAAAUCCAUUUCGCUUUCUUCAUGUGCUCUAGAUCUACAAUUACCUGCUACACAUUCCAAUGGAUAAAUUCUGGUAAUUAUAAAUGUGAUUACUUAAAAUAUAUAUGGUGGCUUCUUAAACUAAAUUAUAUAAAUUGUUAUCGUUAAAAAGCGACUUUUAGAGUUUAUAGCAACAAUCGUAUCUAUUUGUUCACGGGUUUUUGGAUUAAGUUAGAUUUAGGCUAUUGGUCAUUUCAGUCCACUUAUAAAAAUGGAAGGAUGGAUAUUAUUUUAUUAAUUUACACCAUUCGGAGAAUUUCCUUAUUUUGUAUCAAGUCAAAUAAAAAUUAUAGCCUCAACUCUGGCAAAUUAUUUGCAACAUGUUACCCAAUAGUCUACAUUAUAUAUCUAUUAAAAAUCUUAAUAUCUUGUACAAACAUUGUGUAUAAAUCUUUAUUCGAUCAGUUAUAACAAAUUACAUAGACAUAUAGUGUGUUCGAUCGAGAAAAAUAAAUAAAAGAUUGGACAUGAUAACUACAUUUAUACUAUGUGAUUGUAAAACUACAUCAGGAACUAGAUAAACUUAGAGGGUAAAGGACACGAUAAAAAUUGAAAUUAUUAUCAUUUACUAAAUCAGAAUACAACUUUUUGCCUCAAAUACAAGUGAAUAAAAUACCCAAAUAGACUUUUAUCCACCAAGGAUCGUCGUCUAAGAUAAAAAAAAUUGUUCAAUAUAAUUAAAGUUAGUAAUGUGUCUUAUGUCUUAUUCCGUGUUCUUAUGUCCAAUACUUACAUUUUUAGAUAAUCAAACGUAUUCAUCCUGUUGAAGUACAUGGAGUCGAUACAAGUUAAGAACACAGUGGCUUGGGUUAGGUGAUAGAUGUACAAUCGUAUAGCUUAUAGGUCAAUUCUAACAUGUUUCUGAAAGUCAUUUUGUAUGGAGGUGUGUUAUUUGAACAAUCAUUUGAAUGAUAACUUUUGUGACAACCACUAAUUUACAAAGGAAAGUAGAUAGUGACACGGAAACCAAAGUAAUAGAGAGAUAAAGUAAAAAAAUAAUGUGAGUAUGAAAAAUAAAAUUGUCACAAAAUGGUUGUCAAAAUAUCAUUUCUCUUUUGUAUAACAUGCACAAAUAUUUAAAAGAUAAAUGAUAUUUGUAUAACCAUUUUUUUGACAACUUUUAGACAAUUUUCUCUCUCAUAUUCACGUUAUAUUCUUAACCUUUCUUUUCCUUUUUCUCUCUCCUUUGUUUUUAACCAAUAAAAAGAGAGGAAAAAAAAGUUGUCAAGAAAGUUGUUAGCAAAUAGUUGUUCAAAUAUCAUUGCUCGAGUUAAAAUCGUGCUCACUAAACACAAAUGAUUUUUGACGAAGUUUUGUGUAGGCACAAGCAUUUCGGCGCACAUACAUAAAUCAAAAAAAUUAAAAGAUAAAUAAAACAGUCACAUCAAUCAAUAUCAUUUUAAUCAUUUAGUUUUUAAUUUUUUUUUAACUUCAUGGAUGCGUACCUAAAUGUGAGGUGUUGGUCAUAUGACCAAAUAAGAGAUUUUCAUGAUUUUUUUACCAUAAGAUCAAAAAGUUAUAUCAUAUCUCAUUUUAUUACAUUUUUUCUUUAAUGGUGGGGUUUAUUGGUUUCUAAAAAUAUAUCAAUUACCACCCUUUGUUUUCAAAUUCUUUAACCCCGUCACUAAAAACAUAAAAGUAUUUGGAGUAGGUUUAUUUUGUGAAAACAUUUUAAGUUUUCUAGAAUUUAUAUUUUUAAGCAAAAGUGAAUUGCAAAAAUUUAAGCGAGAUUUUUUAUCACAAGUUUACAAUUAUGGUGAAAUCGAAGAACUUAACUACUUAGGUUGUAAACUAAGAACAUUUUAUUAACAAAGAACCAAAAACAGGCAUGAUGGAGUGCAUAGACCAAAAUCUAAAGAAAAAACAUCAAACAGAAAUAAAGGGAAACUAUGUCGAUUAUUAUAACAACAAUCCUCUAAAAUAAAUCUAGGUGGAAGAGUCCACCAAAUAUAACGUUUAGAUUAAAAACCAAAUCCCGCUAUAAAUAUGAGAGAUUACAAUUAAUUGCAUUUGAGAACACAAUGACAAAGCAUUGCGUUGUCUUUUUUUUUUUUUUUUUUUGUCAUUUAGCUUAAUGGCUAUAGAAAUUCACCUUAAAGAUGAAUAAUUGAAGUGUCAUGCAUCGUCUGUUUUUUAAUCUCCACGUGAUAGACCGAGAAUUCUAAAAAGACUUCACCGAUAAUGACGGUGGAGAUUAAAAAACGUUCAUAAUUGCGGCCAACAAAACAAUUUGUGACUAAUAAUUCUAACCUUUUUAAAGAAAAACACGAAGUAGACAAGAAAAAGGAUGUAUCAAUAUGACAAUCAAUGGAAGUCCAAAGUCAACUCUAAAUGUUAACAUCAAAUUGAUUAACGUUGUAACUUGUAACACCUCGUUUUUUCAACUUAAAAAUUUCACAUAUAAAUUAAAGUAUUUCAACAUAAACAGAAUGUCACACUUCUUUUCAUAAAAUCAUAAACAGAAUAAAAUAACUAUUUAUCCUUCAAAUUCAACAGCAUAUCAUUUAUUACAUCGCAACGGAAUGUAUUCAACAUUUAAACAUCUUUUGCACCAAGGCCUCAACAUAAAAUCUCUUAAAGUUAUUCCAACAACAUGUUCAUGAAAGUUCAUAAAAUAAUACGUAAGGAAUAGAAAGCAACAACAAAAUUCUCAUCCCGUUACGUAUCAGGGCACCUAAGACACACGUGAGAGAUAGUCCACUCACGACAACAACUAACAGCAACUAUUCUCGAUCACCUGCAGGUUACCCAUAUGAAGGGUAACAAUUCCAAGCAGAAGGGGUGAGAUUUCAUAUUCAAAUAAUAAUAAGCAUAUAAUUCAUUAAAUGCAUUUAACAACUUAAACUUCAUCAAUUAAUAACAUUAACUCUUCUUAUAAUACUUCGUUAAUAACUCAAUCAAUUUCUAAUCAUCAUUAACUUCAUAUUCAUCACAUUAUAUACAACAUCAUAUAGCACAUAAUAAUCAGAUCAUAAACAUCAUCAUAUAACGACAUAAUCAUCACAUCAUAAACAUCAUCUUAUAACAAGAUAAACGAUACAUCAUAAACAUCAUCUUAUAACAGCAUAAACAACACAUCAUAAACAUCAUCUCAUAACGACAUAAACAACAACGAUUAAUAAAUAUUAAUACUUCACUUAGUUCUUUAUUAACAACUCAUUGACAAAUGACAACUUAACGACAACGACAAUGCGACUUCUACAUCUUAAACUCAACAUAUGCAACUUCAACUUCUUAAUCAUGCAUGUGGUACCAACCAGAGCAUCAAGCCCUCAACAUAAAGAGCAUAAAUACACUCACAGGGCAUCAAGCCCUCAACAUAAGAGCAAAAGCUCACAGAGCAUCAAGCCCUCAACUUCAAAUGAUUAUGCAUGGACUCAAAAACGUACAACUUAGACAAAUUCACAACUUAUAUGAUCCAAUAUCUUGGAAUAACAACUUACAACUUUACAACUUAGACCAACACUUGCAACUUAAUGACAAUAAUGGUUCAACAACAACAGAAACAGCAACAUAAACAUCUUGCAACAUAGCAACAUCAAUAAUAACAAUUUGAAUGAUAUAAACAAUAAUAAUUUCUAUAUCAUACAUUUUCAACACCUUAUAUAAAUAUCUUAAAUUAACCAACAAUCAUUAAUCAUUUGAUUCAGGCUCUCUUUAACUCUAUAACUUAAUAACAACUUCCAUUCUUAUCCAAAGAUCAACUCAAAACAUAGGUUAAAUACUCUUAAACAUCUUAAUUGAACUCAUAGUACUUCUAGUUUUGAGGUUUUGAAUUAUCCCAUAAGUUUUGGAUUAACUUAGAAAUGGUUAUGCUGAAUUUUCAUAAGAUUUCACUAAGACCUCUCUGGAGUAUUUUUUAUCAUAUCUCAAAAACCAAAAAUCAUUUUCAAAUCAAACCAAAGCCAUUGAAAAGCUAAUAAAAUUAUCUAAAACUUUCAUGUUUACAACUAGACACAGUUCAAAGCGGAAAGGGGUGAAAAAUAGUAAAAUAAGAAGGAUCUGAUUCACAAAAAUCGUGCCACGUUUUUAUGCCCAGAACCAUUGAACUUUCGGCCAACAAAAUUGUGCCACGCUUGCAAAAUCGUGACACGUUUUGACAGCAUCAGGUCCAGAAAUCUGCUUUUCAAAAAGUGCAAUUUUCACCAUUUCGCGCGUAAAAUUCAAACCGUUAAUCGGAUUUUGAUGCCGUUUUCGCCUACACGCUCCUGAAACUUGGCUCUAUCAUAAUCUACAGCUAUUUCAAGUCUCAACCAUCCCAAGAAUCAUUUUCCAAAACCUCACAUAAUCCCUUAUUUGCAAAAACGUUUAGACACCGACUUUUCAAGCGAAAAUCUCAAUUUUCAUCAACUCAACCCCAAAACUGGUUCUAAUCAUUGUACUGUGAAUAAUCUAAGGUCUGAACAUCGUUUCUUCAUUAAUUCAACAGGUUUCUAUCAUCUAAUCAACCAAUUACAACUUUUAACCCUAAUUUCCCAAAUUCCCAAAACUACAACCUACAACAUGUUAAAUCCAAUUUUCAGAAUUAUACAACUUAUAAUUAAAGAAUGUUAUCAUUCUAGGUUCUUCUCUUCUAUUGUUUUCUCCCUUUUUCUCCAAAAACUUGUUUUACGCGAUCCUUAUUUUCUAAUUCUAACUCUCCCCUUUUAUAUAAAUCCUUAACCUACUUAUUUUCUCUUAUUUCCAAAUCUACCCCCAAAGUCUCAAUAUUCUAUUCUAAUAUAUAUGUAUAAUAAAAUACUUCUAUAACAAAUAACAAAUAUAUCUCUAUAACAAAUAUAUUUAUGUACCAGAUAACAUAUAUAUUUCUUCACCAAAUUAGAUAUAUAUUUCUACACCAAAUAACAUAUAUAUUAUACUAAUAAAUACCAACAUAUAACAUAACAAAAUAUCACUCAUCAAAAUAAAUCGACUAAAUUAUAAAAAGACAUCUAAAUUCAAUAAAAUAAAUAAAUAUUAAAAUAGGGCGUUACAAACGUGCUUUCUAUCAUCGAUGAACCAGAGCAAAAUUACCAUUAGAUUCAAUCAAUGGUCAUGAUUUAUACAAAAUAAAAAUAAGAACAUUUAAGAAUUGCCUCGCACAAUCUUGCCCCUAUUAAACUUUUUUAUUUUUGGUAUUCAUCAUCUUCAACCUCCAUUCCAAUUUUUUCGUAAUAAAAAAAAAAAAAAAAACUCCAUUUCAAUUUAGGAGCAAUGCUACAAAAGAGAAUUUGCACAAAAAAUUGAGUGUGUCUUCAAAAGUUUACGGGGUUUGCUAAAAAUCUAGUUUAUGGGUUCAAUUGGAGGUGGUGACUAAUGAAAUUGGAGGUUUAACUCAUCCUUAAAAACCAGUUCAUAAGGUGAGUCACGCCCAGCACUCUUUGGGCUUACGUGAAUCGGUAGGUAUUUGGGCUUACGUGAAUCGAUAGGUAACUCUUGAAUUCGACAGGUUCUGAUACCAUAAUGAAAUUGGAGGCCUAACUCAUCCUUAAAAACUAAUUCAUAAGGUGAGAAUUGUCUCCUCUAUAUUAACUCUUAUCAAGAGUCUUAUCUUUUCGAUGUGGAACAUGAGUUUUUUUCAAUAAUGACCUUUAAAGUUUAAACACGCGGCAUCUUUGAAUUCUACAUAGAAAAAAAAAAUAGAAUUAUAGCGUGUUAUGUUUGUUUCUCUAGAGCAUGAGACAUUUCAUUGUUCAGUUUAUGUUGUCAUGGAAAGGCAUAUGAGUGAUGGGUGUACAUCAUCGAUCGGUGGUUUGAUUCUCGUGAAUAGAACAAAAAAAAUCUGAGCUCAAUGGUACAAAUCCUUACGAUGAAAGGUGAGAUAUAGUAGGAUUGUGUGUGGAUAGUUGUAAAUGUUAUCUUUUUUAAUUCUAGUAGAUCAAAAUUGUUAAUCUCAUUUCAUGGUAAAAAUUAAAUAGUCCAUUUGUGAGGGACUCAAUAGCUCCUUCACCUUAGACGUCACCCUUAAUUAAUAAGAAACUAACGGCGAGGGACUCAACUCCCUCACCUUAGACGUCACCAUUGAUUAAUAAGAAACUAACGAUUGAAGUAAAUAAACGAGAAAGAAACUCAAACUUCUUUCUAAACUUUCUUUCUCUUUCGUUCAUCAAGGAGGGGUGGUUUUUGACCUAGAAUCACCCCUCUACAUCUUUUUUCCCAUUUUCUUUCAAUCUAAAUAAGUGGUUUUCACAUACAAGUGUUUCCUUUUGUGUUUUUUGUGAUUUUGUCGUCUAAGUACAACGCUGUGUUGGUCGUCGUCUUGUGCGGCGUUUGAUUUCACGUCUUGUCGCGGCGUUCGUUUAGUUUCUAUUGAAAGAUUGACAUCGGUCAAUUAUAAAUCCAAUCAAUGAUUUGGGUGUGAAUGUUGCCGAUCUAGAAACAUGAGUAUUUCGGUGACUUAGAUUUAAUCAUAUUAGUUGUAGCAUUUUGUCAUUUUAUGUUAUUAACUUGGGUGCUGUGAGUUUGUUCGCAGUUUUACCCUUUACGUUUCUAGCGAUUUUUGUAUCUGAUGUACUCUAUCAAUCUGAAUGAAUGAAUAUCGUUUUGUUUUUAUUAAAAAAAAAAAAUAAAAAAAAAACUAACGGUUAAAAGUUUGCUCUACAUGCCUACAAUGAUAAUAAAUAGAGAUAAUUUACUACAACUUUUAAAACAAUGAUGCUCAUUUAUAGGAACUUUACCAUAAAUAAGUCUCCAAAGAAAAAAUGAUUUGGAUUGAGGAAUUGAAGGUUUCCAAAUAAGCUAUGUCCAUGAUUGAUCAUAUGCAGAAACUUGACAAAAACUAUCAGCAUCCUAAACUGAAAGAGAACCUGAUGAAGAACCCUUCUAAGCAAGAUAUUCAGUGGAAAACUAUACCCCGAUAUUUAUCAAAUUUCAUAUUUCACCAAUUCAACUCUCUCUAUCAAUAGUAUAUAUAUAAAGUAAGAUUUUUUAUGACACGUGUCACUUCCACGUUUAUUCGCAAUAUUUUUAUUUUUUUUCUAAUUUUUCAAAACCAAUAUUUAAUUUGGCAUAAAUAUCUCAACAAACUUUUGAUCUUAUCUAUUAAAUAUUUUACUUAACUAUUUAUUGAAUUCCUAAUAUUUUAUGUAAUAGAAAUAUCUCAACAAAAUUACAUACGAUACCCUUCAAUUAAAAAUCAUCAAUCAAUCAAUAGUAUAUAUAGUAAGGUUUCUUAUGCCACGUGUCACUUUCAUGUUUAUUCGCAAUAUUUUUAUUAUUUUUAUAUUUUUUAAAAUCAAUAUUUAAUUUUGUAAAAAAAAAAUCAAUAUUUAAUUUGGCAUAAAUAUUUCAACAAAAUUUUAACCUUAGGGAUGGCAAUGGGUACCCUAUCCCAAUGGAUAGGGUACUAUAGUACCCUAUCCAUUGGGUACUCAUUGCCAUAAAUGUAUUGGUCUAUUCUCCACUAUCAUAAAUAUAAAGUGAAAUAUAUUGAAUUGGAAAUGAUGAAAGUAGUAUUAAUUAGAGUUAUAAUUGAAAAAAAAAGUAAUUAAUAAUUGUAUUGAAAAGUUAAAUGCAUCAAGAUUUUUGAGACAAUAUUUUUUACAAAUAACUUAGUUAUUAUGGGACGGAGGGAGUAACACUUUAACAUGACAAUGAAAAGUAAAUUUAAGAAUUAAAAUGCAAGAAAUGAAGAGAAUGUUUCUCUAACACAAAACUAUUUUUUUUUUCUCUUUCACUUAUACACUUUUUUAAUGUGUAAAAUAAAAAAUAAAAAAAACUUAUGUAUAAUGAGACGGAGGGAGUAGUUAGUAAGAACAAAGUCGUCAAGGAACCAAUUAACUCUUGAUUUCACUUCCCAAAAACGUCUUGAUAGUGCUAUACUCCCUCCGUCCCAAAUUAUAAGCAAAAAAACAAAAAUCACACUUAUUAAGAAAACUAAAACAUAAAAAUUUGGAGUAUAGUUUUUUGUGUUUUCGUUGGAAAAAGUUUUAUAGGAAGAUGUAAAAACAAUUUUCAUUGGCUAUUGAUUAUGGAAAAAAUGAAAGAAAGAGAAAAUUGAAUGUAAUUUGCAUUUAAUUUUAUGAGAAUAACAAAAAAAAAUCUUGGAAAAGAUUAAAAUUUGUCUUUUUUCCUUAUAUUUUGGGACAAAGAAAAUGAAUUUCUUUUGCUUAUAUUAUGGAACGGAGGGAGUACUUGGUUAAGCUGGAUUGAGCAUUCAAUUCUAAUUUAAGGGCCUUUAAUUUACCUUAAAGAAUAAACAUAGGACAACCAACCACAUAAUUAUUUAUACCAAACAUUUUCCACCACGUGGGUGAUAUCUGGAAGAUGAGAGUCCAUUUAAGUGAGUCAAUGUGACGAAAAAAAAGAUAAAAUGGCAAUUUUAGGAUCGUAAAUUUCUGAAAAUAAUGGAAGUAGUAAUUCUUUUAACGUUUUCAUUGUUUUAAAAAAAUUAUCCAAUCAUAUUUUAUAUGCAAUUUUUGUUUUUUAGAUUAAUUAAACAAUAAAUUUUGUUAACCAGUGUCCUAAGGGUGAUGAUUAAGGAAUUCAAAUGUAAAAGUUUUGUCUUGUAAUUGUAGGAUGUUACAUUUGAUCAAGUAAUGAUUAUACUACUUUUUAUUAAAAACUUACUUGAUUUAGUUGUUUAACCAGUGUGAACACUAGUUAACAUUCUCCUUAAAUAAUUGAUGUUUCUGAAAUAUAAUAUAUAUAUAUAUAUAUAUAUAGCUCAGAUACAUCACUUAUUUAAUGAAGAGUUUUUUUUUUUUCCUUCUCUUAAUUAACGAAUAAAACUAACACUUAUAUAUCUACCAAAAAAAAAAAAAAACUAACACUUAUAUAAUAUAGUUCGGAUACAAUAUAUUUAUAUAAUAUAAUCCGGAUACAUCACUUAUAUAAUCAACAUUGCUAUUUACCGCGACAAGUUUUGUCCCGAAUGCAUCAAGAAUGAAAAUAAGCCAAUUAAAAACAGCUGUUAGUGGAAAUCAUGGGAGGUGGGGGAGAAAAAGAUGGAAAUCAUAAACUAAUGGAUGGAUGGCAUACAUGCCACAUGUGUCUGGAAAAUCUCGGGACAGUUUUAUUUCGUGUGAAAUAGCAUUUUUCCUUAUAUAAUAUAGUCCAGGUACAAGGCAACUAUCACCGGAUGAGGUUUUAUCUUUUUAUUAAUGAAUAAAACUUUUUUUAAGAAGCUAAAUGCAAAAUAUAUUAAAAACCAAAUUAGUUAAGCACAAGAUGUGCCAAACGAAAAACUGUGUAUAACGUCAAAGUAACAAACUCGAUAAAGAAAGAAACCACAAAUAAUAAAAAUCAAAAGCGAAAUUCAGUUUAUGUGUCUUUAGCCACCACAAAAAAUGAAAUUUAAUAUUGUCGAGAAGUUGAUCCUUAGAAGACACGUUGUUAUUGAAAUUUCUCGAGUUUCUCUCCUUCCAAAUUCUCUCCUUCGAAAUAACUCAAAGACAUGUCAGCACACCACUUUAAAACAAGAGCUAAUGUCCUUCCUGAAAGCAUGCGCGCCAAAAAAUUGUUGUGCGUGACAACCAAUAUUUGAUGGAACGACGGUAGUUUUACCCUACCAGAUCAACAAACACCCUACCAGAUCAACAAACAGGGAAAAUAAAUAAAAAAUAUUUUUGCAAAGUAAUUAAACGGAUUCUAAUGUUUAAUAGGAACCGAUCGAGGACAACAUAGAAAUCAUGCUGGAAUUUGAAGAAGAAAUACAAACCUAAUUAAAGAGAGGGGCUAAGUAUUUCCAAGCUGGAACUUGAAAAAGAAAAACCAUGCUCUAAUUAAGUAACUAAGUAAGGUAGUACAUUACAACAAUUGAGAUAAGUACGACACAUUAUGAUGAUUAUGACUUAUGAGCUGUUAAAUGAUGUUGUAGGAUUACUUUUUUCUUGUCAAAAAUAAAUAAAUGAUGUUGUAGGAGAAACAUUAUUAUAAACAUUAUUAUAACUUACAAGGACUAAUGUUUAAAAAAAAAAACUUACAAGGACUAAUAAUGAGACAGAACGAAAGUGUACGUGAGUGUAGGAGACACGUUAUUAUAACAUUUUAUAAAUAUUUAAACGUUGAUAAUAAUUUUGUCGAUCUAUAAACCACUACCAAUUCCUAGUUAAAUAUAUAAUAAUUUUUAUUAUAUUUGUUAGUUGAUGGUAAAAGAUGAAUAUAAUUUGUUACUAUAUUUUUUUUUGACAAAAUAAUUUGUUGCUAUUUAAAAUUCAUAAAUAUAGUCUAUACAUAUAAUUUUAAUAAAAAUAAAAAUUCACCCAAAAAAAAAUCAAAAAUUUCAUAAAAAAAUAAAUAUUGUUUAUAAUUCACGAGCGUUGUCGCAGUACAAAAAUGGAUAGAUGGAUACCCAGUACUAGUAAUUAAUGAAGUUAAUUGGUAAAAUUUCACUCUUACUGGUGGUUGAUGGUAGGGGUGUUUACGGUGCGGUUUGGUUCGGUUUUGAGAGAAAAAGUCAUCCAAACCGCAAGAUAAAAAAACAUGCGGUUUGUGUAACACCCACAGCUGACGAGGGCAGGGGAGUGGUCACCGGUGCACAAGGCACGCCAAUGAGCGGCUCCCGACAGCUUCUAGAGGAACCGAAUCACAUCUGAAUGAGAGGGAUCCUGAGGCCGUGUAGGUGUGGGACUACAUGAAUGAAGGAAUGCUUAUAAGAAUUGUUUGGUAAUACCUAUAUCAACAAGGUGCAUCUUCUUUUUGGUACCCUAUUCCAUAAGAACUCCACAGUUAAGCGUGCUUGACUUGGAGUAGUCUUUGGAUGGGUGACCUACCGGGAUUCCCGAUAAGCAUGCGAGUGAGGACAAAACACGCUGAAAAGACUCGUGUUGGUUUGUAGGGUCAGUCGACAAUGCUUAAAGUCGUCUGGGAUGUUACAGUUUGGUUUGGUUCGGUUGGCUUUAAAAUAAAAUCCGAACCAAACCAAACCAAUAUGGUUUGGGUUGUAUCGGUUGGUGCGGUUUUUUUCGUGACGAUACGAUUUUUUGUUUCCAACAUUAAAAUCAAGAUAAAAAGCUGAAACACAAUAUAUUUUCAACAAUGUUUUAAAUUUCAUCAAACAUUACAAUUUCAUUUUCAUUACAAUGUUUCCAACAACAUAAACCAAAUUAAAAACGCGGACAAAAAGUAAUCUUAUUUUGUAAGAAAUGCAAAAGACUGAGAUGUUCUCAUUCUCUAAAAGUUAAGUAGCACAUAAAUACAUUUUUAAAUAAAAAGCAAAUAAUGAACUUAACAAGAGAAAAAAAAUAUGACAUUUUAUAAAAGUUUUCAUUGAGUUUCUAUGAGUAUUGGUCUUGAUGACAUAUGUUUAAUUAACAUUUUUCUUAUGUUAUGGUUUGGUUUGGUUUUGUAUCUAUUUGACAGUCUCUUUGUACUUUGAGCGACCUCUUUAGUACGCCUUAUGCUAAAGAGGUGUCUCUCUUAUUGUGAAUAUAUAUCAUUUUACCUUCUUAAAAAAAAGUUAAUUGGUAAAAAAAAAAAAAAUUUCUCUCUUGAUUUAUAUGAAAUGACAUUUUUUUUUGGAACAUGGAGGGUAUUGAUUUUUACACCUUUUCAAAAGCCACUCAAGGAUGAAUAUAGAUUUUUCAUGCAUCAAACACAAGAAUCAUUAGCAUAACAUGCUUUGGAAAACACACACAUAUACUUAAAUUAAUGGUUGGAGUAUCAAAUUUAAAAAUAUUGUUGUCAAUACAUACCCCGUCAAUCCUCCUUUUUUACCCAAUAAACAUUGAAAUGUUGCUUCUUUCGUUAAGCAUAAAAACAUCAAAGUCUAGCAAAAUGUUGUUUUUGCGAUGACACAUUUCAUAUAGUUUAAAGGAUGCAUGAUUCGAUUACAAAAACAAAAUACUAAUAAUUCUAGCACAAAGUUUAAAGCUAAGAUUAUAAAGCUUCAUAGCAUGUGGAUAUUCAUUUAGAAAUAUAGGAUUAGGAUUGCCCCUUUCAUCACGGGUCUAAUAGCACCACUUGUCACUACAUGUUAAAAAUGUCCUCUAGUACAACACCGCUUUUUACUUGAUUCCCCUUGUCCAUGAAAAAAUCAAACAAUAUUUGGACACAAAAAUUUGCCCCCACUUUCCUUUUUCUUCUGCCCUAGUUUGUUUGAAAACUCAUAUUGAUCAAAUUUGGCUAUGAAUUCAAACAAAAAAUUCACUCUGCCCAUUGCAUGUGUGGGACCCACAUAUAAAUCCAUGAAGGAUUUCAAUGUCCAUCCAAGUCAAUGAUUCAACAUAUAACAUUGAAUAAUUUAAUUCCAAUUUGCAGUAUUAUGAUUUAGAUUGAUUGCUGCAAUACGGUCCGUGAAUGUAACUCACGAGAAAGAGGUAUCAAGGUAUUUUAUUUUAUUUUUAACAAAUAAAAUUUCAAGGUCUUGUUCACCAUAUAAACCUCCUCACUCUCACUCAAUUCUCUUAAGUGUAUGACUUCAUAGUAAACUACACUACUUUCUUUAAAACAUGGCUAACUAUGCUAUAGCCAAUGUUUUGAUCCUUCUCUUGAACUUGAGUACCUUACUCAAUGUUCUUGCUUGCCCUUAUUGUCCUUACCCAAGCCCUAAACCACCUUCACACCACCCUCCUAUUGUUAAGCCACCAGUUCACAAACCACCAAAGCAUUCUCCUACUCCUAAACCACCAGUUCAUAAACCACCAAGAUAUCCUCCUAAACCAUCACCUUGUCCACCCCCAUCAUCAACACCAAAACCACCUCAUCAUCCCAAACCCCCAGCAGUACACCCACCACAUGUUCCAAAACCACAUCCACCUUAUGUUCCAAAACCACCAAUUGUUAAACCUCCAAUAGUACAUCCACCUUACGUACCAAAACCCCCAGUUGUGAAACCACCACCAUAUGUCCCUAAACCACCUGUUGUGAGACCACCCUAUGUUCCUAAACCACCAGUUGUACCUGUAACACCACCUUAUGUUCCUAAGCCACCAAUUGUUUUCCCACCACAUGUUCCUCUACCUCCAGUUGUACCAUCACCACCACCUUAUGUACCAACACCUCCAAUUGUGAAACCACCAAUUGUUUUUCCACCACAUGUUCCUCUACCUCCAGUUGUGCCUGUAACACCACCUUAUGUGCAACCACCACCUAUUGUAACUCCACCAACACCAACACCUCCAAUUGUGACACCACCAACACCACCUAGUGAAACACCUUGUCCUCCACCACCACUUGUACCUUAUCCACCACCACCAGCACAACAAACAUGUUCCAUUGAUGCUUUGAAGUUGGGUGCAUGUGUUGAUGUGCUUGGUGGACUCAUACAUAUUGGUAUAGGUGGAAGUG